AAGAGUGAAGGCAUUGGAAAAGCUGUUAGUUCAGGUCUUAGUGAAUAAUAAUGACAGCUGUUUAUUAUAUCUCACUACAUUCAGUCAAGGUUCUAUUAUAUCAAAAAGGUCUCGUAGAAAACAAAAAUAUGAAAGGAGCGGGAGAAGGCAGCAAAGCAAACACUAGACCAAUUUAAAAUUGCUAUCUUUUUGUUAAUGGUCACAAGCAUAAAUGAGUCACUGCAGAGACGGCAGGGGAUUUUUAUAUUGCAAGUACAGUCAUGCUAGGUGUGAAGAUAUGCACUACAAAUGGAGAAAAGUGCUUUAAACACAGAUCUCUGCUUGAAGCUGUCCUCUUCUAGGAAAGUGACUGGGAAAGCUAAUAUGAUUAUAGUGGUAUCAGCGAAGAUGGAUUAAGAGAUAUCCAGAUAUGGAGGGGGGCAUGGGUGACAAUCUUUUGUCAGUGCUUUAAAUUAAAAACAACUUGUACAGAAUCGUGUAAGAAAGAUGUGAUUCAGAAAGUAAAACUCCGUAGCUCUUCUGUACAGCAAUAUAUGGAGAACCCACAAAACUGAAGAAUUCUUCAGGUCUUCUGGAAGAAACAUUCUGGGACAAGAGGAAUUGUAAGCCAUCGUCCCUAAGCUAUCAUCCUUUGCACUAUCUCAAGUGUGCAACAAAAGGACAGAUACUACAGGAAAGCAGCAUGACAUGUCAUGAAGGCAGAUUUCAGUUACGUGCAAGAAGAUUGAAAUAUGAUGAAUUGGAUGGUCUUAAUGUUGGCCUUUUGUAAUAGAUUAUUGACUUUGCAACUAGAGCAAUAGUUUUAUCUUAAUGAAUUUGUCGGAUACAUUACCUAUGUUUCUUACUCAAACUAAAAAAUAUUCUUUUGCAAGUAUCUGUGGAAACAAAAAGUUAUCGGUGUUACUUAGUCCUGCACAUCCACAGUGAGCAUGAACUACCAGUAAGUACUGCACCUGUCUGGAGGAAGAGAUGAGAGAGGAAAUGCAUGCUGAGGCCUUGCACUGACUCUGUGAAAUGGUUUGAUCAGCCUGUCUUGACUUCCUGCUGAGAUGGAGAAGAUGGGAAGGACACCACACCUGUACCUGGGAUAUAGAUAAACCACAACAUCAUAGGAUUGUAGAAUCGUUGGUGUUGGAAGGGAUAUUUUAAAGUCAUCUAGUCCAACACUCUUGCAACGAACAGCGACAUUCACAGCUAAAUGGAUGUUCAUGGAAGCUGCUAGUGACCUGAGAGCUCCGAGGGUGCUGGUCUUGUUUAUGUAUCGGAGUGGGAGCAACAACUGGAAAUGGGAUGACAACUAUGAAAUAACAGUUUGCAGCAAGGGUAGUGAUCUCCUGUGUGCUUGUGGGACAUUAUUUGAGAACUGUUUGUUCCAGCAUCUUCUCAGGAGGGAUUGAAGUACAGUUGACUACCAUGCAGAUUUCUGGGAGCUUCAGCUGGAAAAAGUGUUUUGAAUUAAGUAUUUUCAGAAGAAAUCUGGAAGAACCAAGAAGUAUCACAAUAAUGAAACUAAGGUUUAAUAAGCAAUUGGUAAGACAAGAUUCCAGUUCUCAGAAGGAAAGAUGCAUAAUGCAGGAAAAAACAAGGCAAAUGAAUUGGUUCUGGAAAAGUCAGUCAAUGUAUAUGAUGGCAAACAGAGACAAACAGGAGAACAUACGAAAUCACAGUGUUCAGAUGGAUAGAGAGGCAACAGAAAUGGGAAGCAGUGUUCUGAUUGCUGCUGCUAUCAGGUGAUAAACCAGGUGAGUGUGUUCACUGCUUAGAUGUUGCUGAUGGUGCUGUUUAGCGCCCAUGGUCUGCAAUGACAGAAAAUUCUUCUCAGAAAAUAGGCAAAUUUGGGAAUGAAAGAAUGUUACAAUAAAACUAAACCCUGUAUAGUUGGUUUUCUGAAUGUAUGUACGUGAAAUUUGUGCAGUAUGCUUUUAAACUCUGUCAGAAAAUAUAUGUUGUCAUGUCCUCUGGAAGGGUUGGUUUAAUCACAGUUUAGGAUGCUGAUACUUCAUUAAGUUAAGGUCAAGCCAUUUGAUUGUCAGAAGUGAUGCACUGCCUGGAUGAGCUGUGAUGCUGUUAUGCUGAUGUCACUAAAAAACACAUAAAAAUUACACAGAAGUGCAAUGUGAUUAUAUAAAACCCAAAAUGGUUAUAAUCUGUUGCUUAACUGCCUUUGCCAGCUGAAAUAUGAAUGAAUGUACACUUUAUAUAUAUUUUACAACACUAAAUCAAAUCUUAAAGUAUUAUAUAUAAAAGGUGAUUUUUAUCUUCAUAAAAUAUGUUAUGGUUAAUUGCAUAAAUGUUAGAAUAAACAUUUUAUUCUGCAUUUUAAUUUUGUUCAGUAGAAACGCUGGUUUCCAAUUCUAUCAGGCACAAAAAGCUGCAUGCAGUCAUAGCACGUGAAAAAUUAACUUUGUGCAGUGUGGUGAACAAAAGAUCUUAGAGAAAGCUGACCUCAAAGCACCCUUAGGCAUGGUUGUGAAGAAUAGUUAACUGAGCAUUUCUAGUAAAAAUCACAAGCACCAGAUUUAGGACAAAAACUGGCAUGUGAUAAACACAUAAUUCUCUACGCACAAAUUGGACAAUAACUUUUUUUUUUUUUUUUUUUGGUGGUCCUUUGUACAAAUCAGCUGAACUUCUAGAUUUAAACUUUCUUGUUUUGAAAUUAAACAUGAAUUCAACACAGCAACGUACAGAAAAACCUCAGAAAAGAAAUUAACUACAAGCAGAUGUCGAGCAAGAAGCCACACAUGGAGAAAUCCACUUAAAACAACCACCUUACUGUAGCUACUUGAGUCAGCUCAGUUUAUGGCAAACAGAAAGGAGCUUUUCUUAGUUGCUAUAAACUGGUGCACACACUUUAGCACGUGAAACCAACACCCCCUUAAAAUACACAGUGAUUGGUUGCAGGAUUUAGAGUUUUAUAAUUUUGUAUUCCUGGUGACAAACUCGGGAAGAUACAAAAGCAAAAGCCUGGACAAUCUGCUGGCUUCACACAACAAUGGCUGUGUUUUUCUUUCUGUUUAAUCUGAAUCUGAGUGAUUAUACCUCUGUUGUGUACCUUACGAAUCAAAGUCUCUGAUACUGCUAGGGAAAAAAUACUGAAAUGGGAGAAAUGCUGCCAACUUCAAAGCCAUGCUUCUGCCUGAAUUUUUUAUCUACUAUUACUGCACACAAAUAAAUUAUCUGAAAGAGAUUUUAGUAGGAAAAUAUUUUUUUCAGUUCCUUUCCGCUCUUCUUUUACAAAGUACAGAGGUUUCUGAAAACAAGCUGAAUCUAAUCUGUUUUCUGCCUAAUUUUUGGUGGGAUAUUCUUUGAACAAUCAAUCAGCUAUUGUCUUAUACAGGAGUUAAAGACCUAAAGUAAAUCUGAAAUCCCAAAUGGAUGAGCAGAUGGUGGAAUAGUCUAGCAGAAUUUGAGGUCAGAGGGAAGAGUUGCAAUUGUUUGUCUGAUGGCCACUGUACACCCACCUGGGGAGUGUCCUGUGAAGCAUGUUUUCUUCCCUCAGACCCAAAGCUCUUAAUCUGCAGACCGGGCCAAGAUACCAGCACUGCUUUAGGCUUCUGCCAGAAACUACAAGUAACUGUGUUGGAUGCAUCUUGAUGAUAUCUGUUAUAUCUUAAAUAAAAAUGCUAGUUUUGCUGUUUCACAUACCUUUGCAUUUAGAAAUAUAAAAAUUAAUUCCUGACCUGAACAUUGGUGAUUAGUUGGUUCUAUGACAGUAUGGAUCCUGACAUCUAAGGGUGAAGUUAUUCCAGGCUCUAUUGCAUACCCUUUCUCCAGCUCCUUCUCUGCAGUCCAUAAAGCCAACUACUGAUCAUUCAUGAGACAGUAAAAUCACAAUAUAUCAGGAUCUUAUAGGGUCACACAAGAUAUGGGCAUUUUCAUGACAGAGAACUUCAGGAAAUACGACAGCAUGAAAGGCAAUACAGAAGUUUUUACCUUCUCUUCAGUUCCCAAAAUAGAGUGAUUCAGAGUUUCUCACAAUCAGGUAUUUCCAAACCAGAAAAGAUUGCCACGAUAAUCCAGCCAAAAUAUUUGUAUUCACAG
ensembl:lncRNA